rnacentral:lncRNA from 14 species
GUGGACUGCAUCGGGGAACUGCCACGAGUUCAAAAGUGCCUUUUCUUUGGUUAUUGAUUACUUUUAACUCUGAUCUACCUGACUUGUGGCUGCUGUGUCAGGGCUGAGAAGGUGGCCUGGGAGGAGGGAAUGUGUAGCAGGGAGCAGGAGGGAGAAAAUGUAUGCUUGAUGGAACAUGCUGGACCAUAACCUUGCUGGGGAUCUGCAUGCUGAUGGGCUCAGCUUGGAUUUCAGUAAUAGCUUUGGACUCAAGGAAAGCAGUUGAGCCCUCUGUUGUUUUCAUCACAGUGAAAAGUGAAACGAUGGCCAGUGAUCCAUGUGCCGGGCAGCCAGGGCCUG